UAUUUGCAGCUUUGUGAACUUGUAGAAGAUGAAAGGGUUGAUAUAACAAGUACUGUAAUAGAUGAAGAUGCUCCCUUGGAAGAUGACAUGGUUCAGAGCUUGAGAACAAGCCCUAUAUAUUCUAAGGACCGCACCUCAAUAGAUGAUUUUGAGAUAAUAAAACCAAUCAGUCGUGGGGCAUUUGGACGGGUCUUCUUGGCUAAAAAGAGAACAACAGGAGAUCUGUUUGCCAUCAAGGUUCUUAAAAAGGCUGACAUGAUUCGUAAGAAUGCUGUUGAAAGUAUACUUGCAGAACGGGAUAUUUUAAUUUCAGUUCGCAAUCCUUUUGUGGUUCGAUUCUUUUAUUCAUUUACUUGUCGUGAGAAUUUGUAUCUUGUGAUGGAGUAUUUGAAUGGAGGAGAUCUAUAUUCUUUGUUGAGAAAUUUGGGCUGCUUAGAUGAAGAUGUUGCUCGCAUAUACAUUGCUGAAGUUGUGCUUGCUUUGGAAUAUCUGCAUUCCCUCCGUGUGGUUCAUCGUGAUUUGAAGCCCGAUAAUCUGUUGAUUGCACAUGAUGGUCAUAUCAAGUUGACGGACUUUGGUCUUUCCAAGGUUGGUCUCAUCAACAGCACUGAUGAUCUAUCUGGUCCAGCAGUUAGUGGGACCUCUAUGCUUGGGGAUGAUGAACCACAACUAUCCACUUCUGAGCAUCA
rnacentral:misc_RNA from 1 species